rfam:Picea glauca, whole genome shotgun sequence.
ACAUGCCUACAACAUAGUGUUAAUGUAACAUAUCCCAUUAGAACUCCGUAGUUAAGCGCAUUUAAGCUAGAGUAGUACUAGGAUGGGUGACCGCCCAAGAAGUCCUAGUGUUUUACAUGCC